rnacentral:rRNA from 1 species
GACGUAGGGCGCGAGCGUUGUCCGGAUUUAUUGGGCGUAAAGAGCGUGUAGGCGGCCAACUAAGUCCUGCGUGAAAUCUCGGGGCUCAACCCCGAGCGGUCGUGGGAAACUGGUUGGCUAGAGUGCGGGAGAGGAGAGUGGAAUUCCUGGUGUAGCGGUGAAAUGCGCAGAUAUCAGGAAGAACACCCGUGGCGAAGGCGGCUCUCUGGAACGCAACUGACGCUGAGACGCGAAAGCGUGGGGAGCAAACAGG